rnacentral:misc_RNA from 1 species
GAUGAAGAACGUAGCGAAAUGCGAUAAGUAAUGUGAAUUGCAGCAUUCAGUGAAUCAUCGAAUCUUUGAACGCAUCUUGCGCUCCUUGGUAUUCUGAGGAGCAUGCCUGUUUGAGUGUCAUUAAAUUCUCAACUACACUGACUUUGAAUUGGUGUGGCUUGGAUUUGGGGGGAAAAUUGUUGUGGGCUUUUUGUAUAGUCUGCUCCCCUGAAAUUGAUUAGCGGUACCUUUGUGGAACUGUCUACAGGUGUGAUAAUUAUCUACAUCUUAGACAUCUGCUGGAAUGCUGCUUUCUAAACCUUACUUGUAUUGACAAUCUUGACCUCAAAGCAGGUAGGACUACCCGCUGAACUUAAGCAUAUCAAUAAGCGGAGGA